UAGAGUCUUGUAGAGGGGGGUAGAAUUCCAGGUGUAGCGGUGAAAUGCGUAGAGAUCUGGAGGAAUACCGGKGGCGAAGGCGGCCCCCUGGACAAMGACUGACGCUCAGGUGCGAAAGCGUGGGGAGCAAACAGGAUUAGAUACCCUGGUAGUCCACGCYGUAAACGAUGUCGACUUGGAGGUUGUKCCCUUGAGGMGUGGCUUCCGGAGCUAACGCGUUAAGUCGACCGCCUGGGGAGUACGGCCGCAAGGUUAAAACUCAAAUGAAUUGACGGGGGCCCGCACAAGCGGUGGAGCAUGUGGUUUAAUUCGAUGCAACCKGAAGAACCUUACCUACUCUUGMCAUCCASGGAAUUCGCU
rnacentral:rRNA from 1 species